UAGUUCUUUUUUAAUGUUGUUAUUUCAACCUUUUCUAUCAUAGGUAUUUCUUUGAAGUGUUCGCAAAGAGAGGGUUUUAGAAGAACAAAGUAUCUUUAAGAUAUGAAUCCCUUGCUCGGGCUUAGUGUCUUAAAAGCGAUAUUAUUCUGGGGAAUAUGUGAUUGUUGUUCCAUCCAAUUUAGAGUUUCUAUACCAAUUUCUUUUGGUUUUUCACUUUUUAUGAGUUUCUCAAUUUGUUUCCUGUGAGGACACAAGUCAAGGAGCCUGGAUAGUCCUUGCCAAAAUAUGUUGUGGGUUUCCUUAAUCUUUGUAGUACACAAAUUUUUUAGUUUCUUUGCUUUAUGUUAUGGGUUACUGGAUUUUCUCGACAUUGGUUGCUUAACAAUUUGGCAGGAGGUGUGUUUUAGAGUGAAGAAUUUCUGGAGGAACUUGCAGCAGCAUGCGCUUGGAUCUGCUAGGAAUACCUCAAACACCUGAAAAUGUUGAACGAAGAAGGGGAGUAAUUUUGUGUUGCAUGAAUUACUCAGGCAAUACCUUGGUAUUGAAAGUUCUUGCAGAGUGCAAGACUGGUCAUGCUUUCUGAGUCAAGCUCUGAUUAAGCUCAUGGCCACUGGAACUAUUGAUCUUAUUCAAUGGGAAGAUAUUUGUUUUAUGCAGAAAUCAAAAUUUCCUUGAAUCACAGAAUCAAAGAGGUGUAAUUGAUUUCAAUUGUUUCUCUAUCAACAUGGCUGCUAAUGUUGUUGUUGGAUUUUCAAGCAAGCAGACGGAUCUAAAUUGUAGAUUACAAAAACAAGAAUAAUAUGUGAAUCUAUGGUAUAGUUCCAGCUGAUACGAUAUUCCGUUAAGCAAGUCUUGAAUUAAUUUCAAGAUGUCCUAAGGAUUUCAAUAGUUAUAACAUUCCUUUGGUGGCGGACAUUCAUUUUGCUCCUAUUGCAUUGCGAGUUGCUGAAUGUUCAAGAUUCGUGUCAACCCUGGGAAUUUCGCUGAUAGACGGGCUCAGUUUGAGCAAUUAGAAUACGCAGAAGAUGACUACCAGCAGGAGCGUGAGCACAUUGAGCAGGAUUCAGAAACACCAAUAUCCAAAUAGCAGCAUCUUUUACAGAUGGGAUGAGAUGAGACGCAACAAAGAAGAGAUUACUGUUGCUUGGGGUGCUAGGGAUGAGCUGAGAUGCAUCAGAUGUAUGAUGCUAUAAACCAAUGGUUAACUGGAAAGCCUUGCACUUGCUUCUUAUGAAGGUAGUGUGAAUGGUUGUUAGUACAUAUCAAGCAUCUAGUGGUGCAGGUGCUACUGCGAUGGAAGAGUUUGAAUUCCAGUUCGUUAUUAAUCUUAUUAAAUCAGUGACCAAGGUCCAAUACUGAACAAGGAAGUAACUCAAUGUUCACUGGUGUACGUCAAUAGAAUUUUGUAUCUCUACUGCAGAAUUGAGUUACUUUCUUUUUCAUAGGUAUACAGAAUAACUCAUGAAUUGCC